rnacentral:rRNA from 1 species
CAGUAGCCGCGGGAAUACAGAGGGUGGGAGCGUUAAUCGGAUUUACUGGGCGUAAAGCGUGCGUAGGCGGCUUCUUAAGUCGGAUGUGAAAUCCCUGAGCUUAACUUAGGAAUUGCAUUCGAUACUGGGAAGCUAGAGUAUGGGAGAGGAUGGUAGAAUUCCAGGUGUAGCGGUGAAAUGCGUAGAGAUCUGGAGGAAUACCGAUGGCGAAGGCAGCCAUCUGGCCUAAUACUGACGCUGAGGUACGAAAGCAUGGGGAGCAAACAGGAUUAGAUACCCCGGUAGUCCCUGUCUCUUAUAC